rnacentral:rRNA from 1 species
AUUGAACGCUGGCGGCAGGCUUAACACAUGCAAGUCGAGCGGAGAUGAGGUGCUUGCACCUUAUCUUAGCGGCGGACGGGUGAGUAAUGCUUAGGAAUCUGCCUAUUAGUGGGGGACAACAUUCCGAAAGGAAUGCUAAUACCGCAUACGUCCUACGGGAGAAAGCAGGGGAUCUUCGGACCUUGCGCUAAUAGAUGAGCCUAAGUCGGAUUAGCUAGUUGGUGGGGUAAAGGCCUACCAAGGCGACGAUCUGUAGCGGGUCUGAGAGGAUGAUCCGCCACACUGGGACUGAGACACGGCCCAGACUCCUACGGGAGGCAGCUGUGGGGAAUAUUGGACAAUGGGGGGAACCCUGAUCCAGCCAUGCCGCGUGUGUGGAGAAGGCCUUAUGGUUGUAAAGCACUUUAAGCGAGGAGGAGGCUACUGAGACUAAUACUCUUGGAUAGUGGACGUUACUCGCAGAAUAAGCACCGGCUAACUCUGUGCCAGCCGCCGCAGUAACAC